rnacentral:rRNA from 1 species
CCAGGGCGACGAUGCGUAGCCGGCCUGAGAGGGUGACCGGCCACAUUGGGACUGAGACACGGUCCAAACUCCUACGGGAGGCAGCAGUGGGGAAUAUUGCACAAUGGGGGAAACCCUGAUGCAGCGACGCCGCGUGAGCGAUGAAGUAUUUCGGUAUGUAAAGCUCUAUCAGCAGGGAAGAAACUGACGGUACCUGACUAAGAAGCUCCGGCUAAAUAC